AUGUACCACUCGUACACUUCGGUUCUGAGCGCGCCGUCCGCGCCCACCUGACAGCUGCUCGCUACGUUUGUUAGCC
rnacentral:sRNA from 5 species